CCCUUCUCAUACCUUUCCACUUCCUAAAGUAUUCAUUAGAUGUGAUGACUUUUUCCAUAAUAGUCCUCCUUUCCUCUUUCCAGGGAAUGACGUCCCUUUAUUUUGCCCUGCCUCAACUGCUUUUCUCAACUACUCCACGAUGUUCUGAAAAACGAAACAAAACAAAGAGCUGGGAUCACACAGUGAGGACCUGCACCCAAUCUGUCUGGCUCCAAAGCCCGGGCUGUCUCUACGACAUCACAACGUCCCCUUUCUCUGACCACUGGGAUUCACCCUCUGAAAGCUCCCUGCCCUCAGAGGCUUGAAUCCAGUUGGGGAGAAAGCUUAGGGACAGACCUCCUCCCGAUGGUGGAUGGCAGGAGGCAGCAGCACUAACGGCCUUCUGAAGGUACCAGAUCCCCCGUCCUCUCACCAGUCCCUCCUCUGUCUCUUAAAAGAAAAAUGGCCACUUUUGUUUUUGAAAGAGAAAAAAAGUACACACUUCGUUGAUGGCAGUAGGGGCUAUUCAAAUGGACAAAGUUAAUGUUUUCCCAAGUGAUUAAAAAAAAAAAGAGGCUAUUCCCCAAAGGGCAUGUAAUUCUAGCAGAGGGUUACAAAUCUCAAAGAGACGAUGCUAUUAAAUGUCAACUAUUUCCACGAUGGUGUUAGGUGGGAGACAUGGUCCCUCACCGGGCUGCAUGCGCCCACUCCUCCUUCCCCAACCCUCUGUCUCCAGCACCUUCAAGUGGAAAGUAAAGCUGAACCUUCCAUCUUGCAUCUAGAUACCAAUUUAGGAAAAUUAUCGCUUGUUUUCUGGGUACUAUUUUCUUCCUAAAUCUGUCAUAUCUUGAAUUUUUAAAAGGUCUGACUUCACUGAAUUGAGAUUAUUGGUGAUUUCCAUUGAAGAUUUGUAACAGUCAGCAAAAUUUCCUGUACAAAGAGAAAACCUAGACUGAUAAACAAAUACAGCCAAUUUAGAGUCACCCUGGUAAGUCCUUUUAACAAACCAGCCACUUAAUUAAUAAGGCAACGGUUAUUACUUGACUAGUUCCACUGCCAGGAGGAUGCAUUGCUCUCAGAGUUUGCUGUGCUCAUGUGGCAGAUGUGGUGUGGCUUUGUGGGUCUGAAGAACAACAACAAGCAGAUUCACUGCUGUUGCCUCAAUAAUUAUGGUGUCAAGCUGGGAAAGAGGGCACGACUCUAGGAAAUAAUUGAGUGAGCAAGUCCUGUUCUCCAUGGAAAAGGCUUGUCAUUGUUUUCCUUAAACUAGUAAUUUAUUGGCAGUGACCUCAAGCAGCUAUAUAACAGGAGGAAGUGCCUAGAGCCCUGUGGACAGUCUGCUUUCUAAAGAGAACUAUGCAACCCAUGGCAGAGCCAGGGCACUCCCAGAAAUGUGGUGAUCUGAUCACCCGUACAGAUGGGCUUUGAGAGCUUGCUGAGAACAUUCUACCAAGAGUUUUCUAUUAGUAGGACAGGGUGGGAAUUAUUUGUGUGUCUAUGUAUUUGCAUGUCUGUGUGUUUGUGUGUGUGAGUUUGUGUGUAGGGGGAUCCAUUCAAUAUUCUUGCCUUAGCAGUUUUCUAAAUCCAAAGCCGUGAUUAGGCCAUUGGAGCUACUUGUAGAUCUAAGACACAAGUGACAAACUCUAAAAUACUGCAGGUAUUGUAAAUGAAUGAGGCAAUAGGGAGUGGUGGGGACUAGAGAGAACUGGAGGGUGCAUGCCCUGUCUAAAGGAGUAGUCCCUAGCCUUAAUGGCCCUAUGCAGGAAUUUGAGCCAUAUCUUCCAAUUUUUAAAGAGAAGCUGAAAGUGCUGAUUGUUUCAUGCGAAGUCUUUCAACUUUAAAAUGUUGAUUCAAAACAGACGAGCAAGCAAAUAAACAAAAACUCUACAAGCUUUCA
rnacentral:lncRNA from 1 species